rnacentral:rRNA from 1 species
UACAGAGGGGGCAAGCGUUAUUCGGAAUUACUGGGCGUAAAGGGCGCGUAGGCGGCAGAUCAAGUCAGCUGUGAAAUCUCCGAGCUUAACUCGGAACUGUCAGCUGAUACUGUUUUGCUAGAGUGCGGAAGGGGCAAUCGGAAUUCUUGGUGUAGCGGUGAAAUGCGUAGAUAUCAAGAGGAACACCUGAGGUGAAGACGGGUUGCUGGGCCGACACUGACGCUGAGUGCGCGAAAGCCAGGGGAGCAAACGGG